ACUACGGGCGGCAGCAGUGGGGGAUAUUGCACAAUGGGCGAAAGCCUGAUGCAGCGACGCCGCGUGAGGGAAGACGGUCUUCGGAUUGUAAACCUCUGUCUGUGGGGAAGAAAAUGACGGUACCCAAAGAGGAAGCGCCGGCUAACGACGUGCCAGCAGCCGCGGUAAUACGUAGGGAGCAAGCGUUGUCCGGUAUUACUGGGUGUAACGGGAGCGUAGGCGGGAGGGCAAGACGAAUGUUAAAUCCAUCGGCUCAACCGGUGGCUGCGUUCUAAACUGCGGUUCUUGAGUGCAGUAGAGGCAGGCGGAAUUCCUAGUGUAGCGGUGAAAUGCGUAGAUAUUAGGCGGAACACCAGUGGCGACGGCGGCCUGCUGGGCUUUACCUGACGCUGAGGCUCGAAAGCGUGGGGAGCAAACAGGAUUAGAUACCCCUGUAGUC
rnacentral:rRNA from 1 species